rnacentral:lncRNA from 1 species
GCUUAUUUCAUUCGCUCGUCGCGUCGCCUUUGCCUUGCCUCGCUCGGUUCCAAACGCAAAGCACCCAAUUCCAUUUCCGUUCCCCUCUCGGCGAACAGCCUCGCCUCCUCCUCCUCCUCGCCGCCGACGCCGACGCCGACGCCUCCCCGGCAUUUGGUUCGCGCGGGUGGUGCCGUGAGAUACGUGGUGGACGGGAGGAUGGAGUCGGACGCCUCCACCUCGCCGCGCCGGCGGAGCACCAGCUGCUACAGCGACAGCGGCGAUUCGUCAUGCUCCGAGCCGUUCAGCGAGUGCGGCAGCGACGACCUCUCGUUCACGCCGGCUGCCGCCGCGGGAAUCCACCGGCUGCUGCUGUCGUGCGCGGCGGAGGCGUCGGACGGGACGAUCUCGUCGCUCGUCGCGGAGCUGGAGUCGCCGUCGUCGUCGCUGGACUCGCUACGGCGCGCCGCGAUGGAGCUCCGGCUGCUGGCGAAGCACAACCCGGACAACCGGAUUCGCAUCGCGGCGGCCGGGGCGGUGCGUCCGCUCGUCGCGCUGCUGUCGCACGCCGACCCGCUCCUGCAGGAGCACGGCGUCACGGCGCUGCUCAACCUGUCGAUCUGCGACGAGAACAAGGCGAUCAUCGUGGAGGCCGGCGCGAUACGGCCGCUCGUCCACGCGCUCAAGUCGGCCGCGUCGCCGGCCGCGCGGGAGAACGCGGCGUGCGCGCUGCUCCGCCUGUCCCAGCUCGACGGCUCCGCCGCGGCCUCCAUCGGCCGCGCGGGCGCCAUCCCGCUGCUGGUCUCCCUCCUCGAGACCGGCGGCGCGCGCGGCAAGAAGGACGCCGCUACGGCCCUCUACGCGCUCUGCAGCGGCGCGCGCGAGAACCGCCUCCGCGCCGUGGAGGCCGGUGCCGUGCGCCCACUGCUCGACCUCAUGGCCGACCCGGAGACCGGCAUGGUGGACAAGGCCGCCUACGUCUUGCACUCCCUCGUCGGCAUCGCCGAGGGCCGCUCCGCCGCCGUCGAGGAAGGCGGCAUCCCCGUCCUCGUCGAGAUGGUGGAGGUCGGCUCCCCGCGGCAGAAGGAGAUCGCCACCCUCUCCCUCCUACAGAUCUGCGAGGACAGCGCUGCCUACCGCACCAUGGUCGCCCGCGAGGGCGCCAUCCCUCCCCUCGUCGCCCUCUCCCAAUCCUCCUCCGCCCGCCCCAAGCUCAAAACCAAGGCGGAGGCGCUGAUCGAGAUGCUACGGCAGCCACGGAGCGCGAGCCUGCGCGCGAGGCCAACGGCGGUCGUUGCGGCGGAGUGAUCCUGACCUCGUUCAAUUCAAGUCCCCAACUUGGCGGUGCCCCAGGUGUUGUGCUUUGCUUCCCCUAUUCCGGCGGCGACCGGGGCCGGCGCCGGCCGCCGGCGCCCGCGUGUAAAUAUACCAAUCAGCGUGUUUGCGUCCGCGAGCGAGUGUACAUUUUCCUCAAGCGAGAUGACGACGAAGGCGAUGGUGGAGCGAAGAAAAGUCUCUUGUAAUUUCAUUCUUCCCCACCACUUGUUUUUUUUUUCACUUCACUUUUAUCCCCUACCUUGCUUGGUUGUUUCCUCCUCGUCAAACGAGGAGAAGGUUGUGCAAAAAAAAAAAAAAGCUACAAA